AGCGGUGCUGUCCUGUUUCUCAAGUGGUGCGGAAAUGCAAAGGUUCCCAAGGUGCCACAAAAACAGCGCUGGCUGCCAGCAAAGAAGGGUCAGCCAUCCCAACUUCACAACAGAUACAUGACUAUUAGAAAUUUUGAAGGCAUCAAGCAAGUACACAAAGCUAACAGCAGAGGUCUCCCUGCAUUGACAGAUUCUGAAGAAAGGUGUUAUCUUGAAUCCCAGAGUGAAACCGCUUUACCCAAAGGCUAUUCCAACUUUCUAUAGCAAAACAUCAAGAGGAACCAAAGUUAUUUAAGCCUUCUGAGAGGAAACAGAGUAUUCUCUCUUCUCUCAAGUAUGAGACCAGAGA